GUGCACACCUACAAUCUCAGUCCUUGGGAGGUGGAGACAGGAGGACCAGUUCAAAGCCAGCCUGGGUAACAGGGGUCUCUAGCUCAAGACCCAAAUCAAACCAAAACAACAGAGAAAGCUCGCCAACACUCUUUGCCACAUCCCCUUGAGUUUCCUAAUGAGCACAGAUACCUUUAUCCCUCAGACCAGCUUCCUGGGAAGAGGAUCCAUUUGCAAACAAACAAACCUGUUCUUUUUUCCAGGAGAGGAAGAAAUAAUAGAGCCCAUUAAAAGUGAUGCUCUUACCCUGGGGGAGAUGAUGCAAGCCCGGCAUAAAGCCCAGAGGCUGUUGCUAGGAUACAUGGCUGUCAGGUAGCAGAGGUCACAGGACCUCAGAAAGGGUUUCAUAAAUGACUAAUUCAUUAUUGUUUUAUUUAGUCCUUAUAAAAGGAUUGCCUCGGGUUCCCUAAGAAUUACUUCACUUCAAAUAUUCCUCCAGCACAUUUGAUAUAUGUUCUUCACAUGGUCUCAUGAGGGAGAGGCUGAGGAAGCAGAGGUCCAGACCCUUCCUGUACUUGGGGCAUCUCUGAAGGACCACUCCAGCCCUAGAAUUCCUCGCAGGAUCAGAGGAGAUCCUUGCAGCAUUUGCAACAUAAUUCAGCAUAUUUCUCUGCCAGUCAAGUCACCUACACUGAUUAGAGGCAGCUGCGACACAUGAACUCACAGCUUUGGGACAGAGUGCACAAGACUUGGGAAAGCUGAAGCCACAUGAAAUCCAGCAUGGAGGGGGAGUGAGCACAAAGUCUCAGCCUUUGCUCGUUGCAAUUGGACUCUUGGUGCUGAUAUCGCUAGUUGAUACCGACUUUCUGGGAAGGACAACAAAAACAGAGUCCACAGUCCAAGCCACUUGAGUACCUAGAAGUGAGAACAGAAAAACAAGGGAUUGGUUGGAGUAACCAAGGAAACCAUUUGAUGGGGUGCUGAGAUUAAAAGUGUAUACCACUGGGCCUGCCCCUGUUUGGGCUCUUCAAGAAGAUCAUGGGAGGAAUUACUAUAACUGGGAAAUCUGAUCCAACAUGAUUUGGGAGGGAGGUGGGGGAGUUCCAGCCUAGCCCUAUGAGUGCCACCCACCUCGUAAACAUUCACAGAAAAAGUUCUUUAAACCCCAGUGUGUUGCUACAUACCUCCUCCCACCAGUCCACUCUGGGAUGUAUGUAUUACUUUGCUUUACUAAAUAAAACUCUUUC
rnacentral:sRNA from 1 species